UAGGGAAUUUUGGACAAUGGGCGAAAGCCUGAUCCAGCGACGCCGCGUGAGGGAUGAAGGCCUUCGGGUUGUAAACCUCUGUUGUAAGGGAAGAAGCCACCGCAAGGAUGGUGACGGUACCUUACGAGGAAGCCCCGGCCAACUACGUGCCAGCAGCCGCGGUAAGCCGUAGGGGGCAAGCGUUAUCCGGAUUCACUGGGCGGAAAGGGCGCGUAGGCGGCUACGGAAGUCCGGCGUGAAAUCCCAGGGCUCAACCCUGGAACGGCGUCGGAUACUCCGUUGGCUAGAGGAUGGUAGAGGCUCGGGGAACUAGCGGUGUAGCGGUGAAAUGCGCAGAUAUCGCUAGGAACGCCGGUGGCGAAGGCGCCGGGCUGGGCCGAUACUGACGCUGAGGAGCGAAAGCGUGGGGAGCGAA
rnacentral:rRNA from 1 species